rnacentral:rRNA from 1 species
GACGUAGGGGGGCCAGCGUUGCUCGGAAUUACUGGGUGUAAAGGGUUCGUAGGCGGUGUGGCAAGUCGGGAGUGAAAUCUCUGGGCUCAACCCAGAGUCUGCUUCCGAAACUGCUGUGCUUGAGUCCGGAAGAGGCGAGUGGAAUUCCUGGUGUAGCGGUGAAAUGCGCAGAUAUCAGGAGGAACACCAAUGGCGAAGGCAGCUCGCUGGGACGUGACUGACGCUGAGACGCGAAAGCGUGGGGAGCAAACAGG